CCUACGGGAGGCAGCAGUGAGGAAUAUUGGUCAAUGGGCGCGAGCCUGAACCAGCCAAGUAGCGUGAAGGAUGACUGCCCUACGGGUUGUAAACUUCUUUUAUAAAGGAAUAAAGUGAUGCACGUGUGCCUUUUUGUAUGUACUUUAUGAAUAAGGAUCGGCUAACUCCGUGCCAUCAGCCGCGGUAAUACGGAGGAUCCGAGCGUUAUCCGGAUUUAUUGGGUUUAAAGGGAACGUAGAUGGGUUGUUAAAUCAGUUGUGAAAGUUUGCGGCUCAAUCGUAAAAUUGAAAUUGAUACUGGCAGUCUUGAGUACAGGUGAGGUAGGCGGAAUUCGUGGUGUAGCGGUGAAAUGGUGAGAUAUCACGAAGAACUCCGAUUGCGAAGGCAGCUUACUAAACUGCCACUGACAUUGAUGCUCGAAAGUGUGGGUAUCAAACAGGAUUAGAUACCCCAGUAGUC
rnacentral:rRNA from 1 species